AGAGUUGAUCAUGGCUCAGGAUGAACGCUGGCGGCGUGCCUAAUACAUGCAAGUCGAACGAGGUAGCAAUACCGAGUGGCGAACGGGUGAGUAACACGUAGGUAACCUGCCCUUAAGCUUGGGAUACCCAGAGGAAACUUUGGCUAAUACCGGAUAACAACAGAGAAGGCAUCUUCUUUGCUUGAAAGGCCCCUUCAAGGGUCACUUAAGGAUGGACCUGCGGCGCAUUAGCUAGUUGGUGAGAUAACAGCCCACCAAGGCGAGGAUGCGUAGCCGAACUGAGAGGUUGAUCGGCCACAUUGGAACUGAGACACGGUCCAAACUCCUACGGGAGGCAGCAGUAAGGAGUUUUCGGCAAUGGGGGAAACCCUGACCGAGCAACGCCGCGUGAGCGAUGACGGCCCUAUUGGGUUGUAAAGCUCUGUUGUAAGCCAUGAAUGACAGCUUGAGGAAAUGCAAGUUGUUUGACGACAGCUUACCAGAAAACCACGGCUAACUACGUGCCAGCAGCAGC
rnacentral:rRNA from 1 species